UACGUAGGGGGCAAGCGUUGUCCGGAAUUAUUGGGCGUAAAGCGCGCGCAGGCGGUUCUUUAAGUCUGAUGUGAAAGCCCACGGCUCAACCGUGGAGGGUCAUUGGAAACUGGGGAUCUUGAGUGCAGAAGAGGAAAGUGGAAUUCCACGUGUAGCGGUGAAAUGCGUAGAGAUGUGGAGGAACACCAGUGGCGAAGGCGACUUUCUGGUCUGUAACUGACACUGAGGCGCGAAAGCGUGGGGAGCGAACAGG
rnacentral:rRNA from 1 species